UACGGCCACAUCACGUUGAAAUACCGGUUCGCGUACGAUCAUCGAAGUUAAGCAACGUCGUGCCUGGUCAAUACCUGGAUGUGUGACCGCUUGGGAAUA
rnacentral:rRNA from 1 species